rnacentral:tRNA from 1 species
AAGGGUAUAGCUCAAGUGGUAGAGCACAUGCUCAACACCCAAGAAGUCCUGGGUUCAAUCCCCAGUACCUCCC